GUCGGAGUGGUGGAAUGGUAGACACGCAAGCUUGAGGGGCUUGUGGUCGCAAGACUGUGCCAGUUCAAGUCUGGUCUCCGACA
rnacentral:tRNA from 1 species